UAAAUUUUAGUUUAAAUUAAAAUAAUUCAUUUACACUGAAUAGACUUUAUAAAGUAUAAAAAAUUUAA
rnacentral:tRNA from 1 species